AAUGAACGCUGGCGGCAGGCCUAACACAUGCAAGUCGAACGGAUCCUUCGGGAUUAGUGGCGGACGGGUGAGUAACGCGUGGGAACAUACCCAAAGGUACGGAAUAGCCUCGGGAAACUGGGAGUAAUACCGUAUGUGCUCGAAAGAGGAAAGAUUUAUCGCCUUUGGAUUGGCCCGCGUUGGAUUAGGUAGUUGGUGGGGUAAUGGCCUACCAAGCCGACGAUCCAUAGCCGGUUGGAGAGGAUGAUCAGCCACACUGGGACUGAGACACGGCCCAGACUCCUACGGGAGGCAGCAGUGGGGAAUCUUAGACAAUGGGGGAAACCCUGAUCUAGCCAUGCCGCGUGAUCGAUGAAGGCCUUAGGGUUGUAAAGAUCUUUCAGGUGGGAAGAUAAUGACGGUACCACCAGAAGAAGCCCCGGCUAACUCCGUGCCAGCCGCCGCCGUAA
rnacentral:rRNA from 1 species